rnacentral:rRNA from 1 species
GACGAACGCUGGCGGCGUGCCUAAUACAUGCAAGUCGAACGGUCUUUUCUAUGGAAGCUUGCUUCCACUGAGAAGAUAGUGGCGGACGGGUGAGUAACACGUGGGUAACCUGCCCAUAAGAGGGGGAUAACAUCCGGAAACGGGUGCUAAUACCGCAUAGUUUUCUUGAUCGCAUGAUCGGGAAAGGAAAGACGGCCUUUGUGCUGUCGCUUAUGGAUGGACCCGCGGCGUAUUAGUUAGUUGGUGAGGUAAUGGCUCACCAAGACGAUGAUACGUAGCCGACCUGAGAGGGUGAUCGGCCACAUUGGGACUGAGACACGGCCCAAACUCCUACGGGAGGCAGCAGUAGGGAAUCUUCCGCAAUGGACGAAAGUCUGACGGAGCAACGCCGCGUGAGUGAAGAAGGUUUUCGGAUCGUAAAACUCUGU